rnacentral:rRNA from 1 species
AUUGAACGCUGGCGGCAGGCUUAACACAUGCAAGUCGAGCGAGCGGCGGACGGGUGAGUAAUGUCUGGGAAACUGCCUGCUGGAGGGGGAUAACUACUGGAAACGGUAGCUAAUACCGCAUACCAUCAGAUGUGCCCAGAUGGGAUUAGCUAGUAGGUGGGGUAAUGGCUCACCUAGGCGACGAUCCCUAGCUGGUCUGAGAGGAUGACCAGCCACACUGGAACGGAGACACGGGCCAGACUCCUACGGGAGGCAGCAGUGGUGAAUAUUGCACAAUGGGCGCAAGCCUGAUGCAGCCAUGCCGCGUGUGUGAAGAAGGCCUUCGGGUUGUAAAGUACUGUCAGCGAGGAGGCGUUACUCGCAGAAGAAGCACCGGCUAACUCCGUGCCAGCAGCCGCGGGAAUAC